rnacentral:rRNA from 1 species
GUAGUGUAGCGGUGAAAUGCAUAGAUAUUACUUAGNNCACCAAUUGCGAAGGCAGGUUANUAAGCANCAACUGACGCUGAUGGACGAAAGCGUGGGGAGCGAACAGGAUUAGAUACCNUGGUAGUCCACGCCGUAAACGAUGCUAACUCGUUUUUGGGGCUUUAAGCUUCAGAGACUAAGCGAAAGUGAUAAGUUAGCCACCUGGGGAGUACGGACGCAAGUCUGAAACUCAAAGGAAUUGACGGGGGCCCGCACAAGCGGUGGAUUAUGUGGUUUAAUUCGAUGAUACGCGAGGAACCUUACCAAGGCUUAAAUGGGAAAUGACAGGUUUAGAAAUAGACUUUUCUUCGGACAUUUUUCAAGGUGCUGCAUGGUUGUCGUCAGCUCGUGCCGUGAGGUGUUAGGUUAAGUCCUGCAACGAGCGCAACCCCUGUCACUAGUUGCCAUCAUUAAGUUGGGGACUCUAGUGAGACUGCCUACGCAAGUAGAGAGGAAGGUGGGGAUGACGUCAAAUCAUCACGGCCCUUACGCCUUGGGCCACACACGUAAUACAAUGGCCAGUACAGAGGGCAGCUACCAGGCGACUGGAUGCGAAUCUCGAAAGCUGGUCUCAGUUCGGAUUGGAGUCUGCAACUCGACUCUAUGAAGCUGGAAUCGCUAGUAAUCGCGCAUCAGCCAUGGCGCGGUGAAUACGUUCCCGGGCCUUGUACACACCGCCCGUCAAGCCAUGGAAGUCUGGGGUACCUGAAGUCGGUGACCGUAACAGGAG